rnacentral:rRNA from 1 species
UACAGAGGGGGCUAGCGUUAUUCGGAAUUAUUGGGCGUAAAGGGCGCGUAGGCGGCUUGGCAAGUGACGGGUGAAACCCCUCGGCUUAACCGAGGAACUGCCUGUCAGACUGCUUCGCUUGAGACCGGGAGAGGUGAGUGGAAUUCCCAGUGUAGCGGUGAAAUGCGUAGAUAUUGGGAGGAACACCAGUGGCGAAGGCGGCUCACUGGACCGGUACUGACGCUGAGGCGCGAAAGCGUGGGGAGCAAACAGGAUUAGAUACCCCCGUAGUCC